GCAGCUGACACACUCAGUUUGUGUUGGCAGACUCCCUGUGACACUACAUUCUUAGUGCUUAGAACUGCGUGAACCCCAGACAUGGAGUCAGCCAUUUUGCACUUGGGAAUUCUGAGAUGAAUGGAAACAAGCCAAAGGAUCAGCGCUGGAGACCAAAGUCUGGGGGCCGUCGGCACGGUCACAUCGGAAUUCACUUCUCAGAAAUCAAAAGGAUGGAGAAGCCCAUGGGAGGCCAGCAUGAGAUCCUGGAACCAAUGUCACUGCCACAGUCCAGGCCUGUGUCUAUCGUAGGCUGGAGAGAUCACUGUGGGAAGGCCUGCAAUAAGGGAAGCCAUGGGACCACUUCCUGAAUUCGUGCUAAUCUCGGCCUGGAGCAGAGAAGUUCUUUUUAGUAGGGGGUUACAAUUACUGCGCAGACUCCUACGUAGUCAAAAUGUCGAGAGUAAGUGACCAACGAGCCCUCAACCUUCGACAGGGUGUUGUGUCUCACACACGCAUACGCAUGCACAAAAGCAACAGCGAACACUGCGGAAGAGAGAGGUGGGAGGGAAACUGAGAGCUGGAGGAUGGAGAACAGUGUCCUGACCUGGUGGGGUGCAGAUCUCACAUGGCUGCUGAAACCAGGAGCACACAGCGGCUGUGGAUACCUGCACGAGGCUGGACCACACGAGGCCCCACCUCUGCUGAGGAAUGAAGGGUUAUUAGCGGUUUCUGGUCUGGGGAUAUGUUCUCUAACGGAACGGUCACUGGGAGACCAGGUAGGAAAAAGAGGUUCAGGGGAAAACUGAAGGAGAUACUAGAAGGUAACGUGGGGAAUAUAAUCAUAGCACACUUGUUAUAUGUAUGCGAUUGUCACGAUAUUAAACUGAAAAAAAGACAGUUCCUGCCACAGAAGCCACAUUCAAGUAUCCAGCAACUCCAUGCGGCUCCUGCAUACAGAGGAGCAAUACUGACUUCCCCACUGCCCAGUGAUCCCCACGGGUCCCAAUGUGCAAUGGCUGUGUGGUGGGAGAGGCAGAUGGCAAAGGUCUAUAAAAACAACCCCCCCACAAACAGCAAAGCAGCUCAGAGAUGAGAGCUUGCCGGAGGGGAAGGUCGUAAAGAAAUGCUCACAAGUGGAUUGACAUCGGCCUCAGGGGAGAUGGACUGACAACAGAUUCAGGGGAGAGGGCCCCCAAAGCAUAGCAGAUGACUCUGGAGGAAAGAAGAGACACUCCUUUUUAGGACAAGGUGCCUUGUAUCCAGGCUAGCCCUGAAUUCUCAAUAUAGCCGAGGAUGACCUUGAACUUCUGAUCUGCCUGCUUCUCCCUCCCAGUACUGGGAUUAGAGGCAUGAUAUCAAUCUAGUUUAUGGGGUGCUCAGGAUUGAACGCAGGGUUUUAUGCAUGCUAGUGAAACACUCUACCAACUAAGUGACUCUGCCAGCUAAGAAUGUCUCAUCUUAAAAAAAAAAAAAAAAGAAAGAAAAAGGAACCACACAUUUAAUUAGUCAAGAUGAUGAACAACUGUAAAUCCAAGCCCUUGGGAAGCCUAGAAAGAAGAAUUGCUGUGAGUUUGGGGUCAGCCUGAGCUACCCAGUGAAUCUAGGCCAGCCUGAGACCCUGUCUCCAAAACCCCUAAAACAGGUAACAACGACAACAAAAAUCACAGCAAAGGAACAACAAAAACACAUAGAAGAUACCACCACGGAUUGCAAUAUCGUGCUUUAUCUUCAAACCCAGGGUAAGAAAGCCCCAGAGGAGGGCCACAGGAGAACCAUUUGAAGGAACAAACCAGAUUCCAGGUGGAGCAGGAAGGUGAGGGCAAUUCAGGCUGAUAGUAGAUCCAGGGUAGGAAUAUGCUGUGAGGCUCUGGAAGGGUUGGAGGAUUUGUGCCAAUGGAGAGAACAAGGGCCUUGGUGGAACAGCACUGGAGUUGAUCAUCCUAGCGGACUGGCACCUGAAGGCACUUAGUCUUAGACAUUAACUGCUGAAAACUAGAUUGGCCGGCUGGGGAGCGGUUAGCUGGCUCACUAGGCCGGAGGUACAGUGUUCCUUCAAGCUCAUGCACCAUGGCCCAAACUAUUCUUGAUCCAGAAACAGCAGCUUCAUGCAGUGUUGGUCUCAAAGGCUUUGGUUUCAACACCUGCCGACUCUCUCAGACGCUAGACACAGAGAGAGGGAUCCUGCGGGAGAUGUCGAGAACCUCAAAGUCUAAGUAUCAGUCCAGUCUCAGAGACUGUGUUGUCGGCCACCCUAUAAACCACAUCUCCAUUGUCAAAGAGCCUGGAGCGGGUGGGUCCCAGGAUGUGAGUUUUCCCAGCCGUCCUGAGUCAACAGCACAUUCUCCUCAUUGGCUCCUGACAGUAGAGCAGGAUGUGAUGUCACCACCAAGCCAGGCAAUGAGAGAGCCCCGUGCACAUCCUGAAUUUUAAAUCGUGCAAACUUGUGAGAACUCAAGUAACAGCUGUUUUAAAUUUGGUUCUAACAAAAUGCAGCAAGAGGUUCUGCCACGAGAUUAAGAGACGCAAAUUGUUUGAGAGGUUAUUUAUUAUUUGAGUUAUGUGACUUUCCCCGCCACUGACAAAAGCAAUCAAGAAGACUACAAUGGAAUCAGUAAAAAUGAACUGACUGUCCAAGUCCUAAGUGUCAUUGAAAAACAAUGUCAUAUACUUAUUAAAGUUCCUACAACAUGGGUUAGUGAGGCAUUCACUAAUGAAUCUGAUUGUCAGUACAACACCAGCCAUCGACCAUCAAACCCGCUUACUUAUAGAUGUGGAAACUGAACAUCUGCAGUGGCUUUAAUCUCUACUAACAACAUGUCACCUGAGACUUAGCCCAGAGAAUGGCAAUAAUACUACAAGCUUUAAAUCCCUCAUAUUACAGAAUUGCAUAUCUUAAUACUUGACUCUCAAACCGUGCAAGCCGGUGUUGGAAGUCACCUGACAACAGCCCCACAGAGGGUCACUGAGUUCUUGGCCACCUCCCUUGCAUGACUUUGGAUGCACCGCAGUCUAGGGUGCAGUAGCUGCGGCCGCGAGUGGUGACGUCUUGCCGUUGGGCUCCUGGUGUGACGCGUAUGCAACCUGCCCACAUUGAGCUCCUCUCCAGGCCGAGACCAGCAAGGGUUUGUCCAUUUACAAGUAUGUUUACUCUAGCUCUCCUCAGUCCCCGCAAAUGUAUCUGUAGCUCUCAGAAGGAGAUGUCACGCGCUGGGCAAAGGAUAACAGUACGCUGGGGCUAAUUACCGGAGCUUAAGGAAUGAGCGUGGACCGCAGGUCGCCAGGCACGUGCUUCUCAACUUUUGGAGUCCACGUGUCCUAUUAGUGCUGGAAAGCUGACCAGGGGUAAUCUGUAAGUCCUGGAGCUCAAGCUCUGGUCCCCAGCACAGCCGAAAGUUUUACAUUGUUGAGAGAAUCGGCCGCACUGAAAAUAGACCCCAAGCUGUUAAAUGAAGGAGGCUGUGAGGAGCCAGUGCAGCAAGACCUGACUUGUUGACUUGUAAAGACUGUGAUGGGGGAGGACCUGGAGGGAUGGCUCAGCAGUUAGCAGUCAUUGCCGCCCUUUCAGAAGAUGCACCCCACCUCCCUUUGGUCCCAGUACCCACGUCCUCAGGUGACUCACAACUGCUUGUGACUCCAGCUCCAGAGUCUCCUAUAUCCUCUUACAGCCACGGUGGACUAAUAAACUCAUAUGCACAUAUUCCCACACAGAUAAGCAUGAGUGCAUACAAUUUUAAAGCAAAAUAUUAAUUAUAAUAUUAUUAAAAACACUACAGCUUUGUAAUUUUUUAAAAAAAAAAGUUAUGAAGCCAUUAAUAGUCCAUUACUUUAAUCCCAGCACUCAGAAGGUAAAAAUGCAGGGGGAUUGGGAACUUCGGGCCAACCUUAGCUACAUAGGAAGCCAGAGGCCAGCCUGAUCUAUAUAGUGAAAGCCUGCCUCAAAGUACAAGUGGAAUGAAUACAAUUCUCAGAAGGAAAUAAAUAAAUAACCCCCAAAAAAAUGCAUGAAAAAAAAAUGUUCAACAUCUUCAACCCUCAGAAAAAAAUCAAAACUACAUUGAGUUUCCAUCUCAGCUCUUUCAGAAUGACGAGACCAAGAAAACAAACACUGGUGAGAACGUCUGGCUGGAGAGGGGAAGGGACACGGGGCGGGGAGGACACAGCCUUUAGUCACUACUUGUGGGAAUGUGUAAUGGGGCAAUCGCUGUGGAAGUAAACGCGGAGAUACAAAGUCCUCUAAAAAAAAUAAAUUCUGCAGCCACGUGGCCCCUUUUAUAUCACUCCUGGGUGUAUCCCUGAAGGAAUCUAAGUCCUACAGAGGCAUGUGUGAGUCAUGUUUAUGCCGUGCUGUCCACAAUAGCGGAUAUGCCGCCUAGAUGGCCAGCAGCAGAUGGAUAAGAAACACACGUAUACACGGCAUAUAUACACAGUGGCGUUUACUCGGUCAGAAAGAAGGACGACACGUGGCUCGCAGGAAAACUGGGGGAGAUGCAGAUCAUUGUGCCAAGUCAAAUUGUUCAGAUCCAGAAAGACAAAUGUAUUAAGUGUUUUCUCUCCUGUACAGAAUCUGGGAUUAUCCUACAUGACCUGGAGGUAGAAGGGUGAGCUAUAUGGGAGGAAGGAUGGGACCGGCAGUGGUGGGGAACGGAGGAUGAUGGGGCAAAAGUGAACAACAUACACCGGUAUUAUACACGUGUAUGUAUGUAUAAAAUGCCAUGAUGAACUGCAUUCAUUUGCGUGUUAACUAUGAAAACAAAUUAUGAAAGGAAAAACUUUGAGUUAGGGAUGUGUAGCUCAGUGGUUAACAUGCCCAAGGCUGUGGGUUCUACUCCCAGCACCCCCAAUGAAACAACGAUAAUAAAAUCGUUAAUUCUUAUUUAACUCUGAUCGUAAGAAAUAAUAUCUUUUCCCACCUCUUCAAAUAUUAAAAUUUCAGGAGGACACUGAUAAAGAAAAAUAUUCUUAGCUAAAAUUUGAAUGCUAUUUGGGGAAACCAUGUAUAUCUAAGUGUCAAUAGUUUGUGUACUAUAAAAAUAUGAAUUUACUUUAAUUUUUAAUUUUAAUUCUAAUUCUGGAAGGGAUUCUUUUCCUUAUCUCUAGAAAACCUAAUGUAUGUGUGACACUUAUUUAAACACCCACUAAUGUAUCUGCUCCCAUGGAUCCAAAGUGUAAAAUUACUUAUUUUCUAGACAGAGACGCAGAUGAAUACACAUAUUUAUCUGACGAAUUUAGACCCACUAAAGCUUUACUGAUAGUGAUGUUUCUUCGGAGACUGAUUUACCAACAGACAGAAGUAUUUUUAAAACAUAGUCUCGGAAAUCAGAGACAAAUGGAAUAGAAAUGGAGUUUUUGUUUCUUACAAAUUGCUUUGCGUCUGGUGGGAUUUUCAAAUUCUGACUCUAAUGAGAUUUGGCUCCAUGUAAAUUCCCUGUUAAAAGGCCUGGGCUGGUGCAGUCCUAUAGACAUUUAUUCCCCCAAACAUUACACGCCAUUUUGGCGGAUGAGAGGUGGGGAAAAGCAGAUCCUAUUCAUUAGACUGCCUACGGGAAGAGAGGUCUAUGGAAACACGUUUUCGGAGCCUUUGCCAUUUGUUUGCUGGGAUGAUGGCAAUGUUGAACUUGAGAAGUGUGUGUGUUUGUGUAUGUUAAAAUUAAAUCUGGUAAUUAGUUUACUUUAGACAAUGACCGCUCAAUUUACUUAGGACCCGCUACACGCCAGGCAUCUUGCCAAGUGUUGCAGAGGACAGACAGUUGAAGAAGUUCCCUUUUCACUCUGAGGCUGGCGAAGCCCAUAGUCAAGAAGCAAUUACAGCGCUGCAUGUUUAAAAGAACAUGUGAAGUGGUACUGUGAUAUAUUUCACUGUAGCGCAUAAGAGUAAAGCCAACGUUCAUAGUGAGUGAAGACUUUGAAACUAUGCGCACUGACCCUUAAAGAGAUUUAUGAAAAUG